GCUCAGGAUGAACGCUGGCGGCGUGCCUAAUACAUGCAAGUCGAGCGAACUGAUUAGAAGCUUGCUUCUAUGACGUUAGCGGCGGACGGGUGAGUAACACGUGGGCAACCUGCCUGUAAGACUGGGAUAACUUCGGGAAACCGAAGCUAAUACCGGAUAGGAUCUUCUCCUUCAUGGGAGAUGAUUGAAAGAUGGUUUCGGCUAUCACUUACAGAUGGGCCCGCGGUGCAUUAGCUAGUUGGUGAGGUAACGGCUCACCAAGGCAACGAUGCAUAGCCGACCUGAGAGGGUGAUCGGCCACACUGGGACUGAGACACGGCCCAGACUCCUACGGGAGGCAGCAGUAGGGAAUCUUCCGCAAUGGACGAAAGUCUGACGGAGCAACGCCGCGUGAGUGAUGAAGGCUUUCGGGUCGUAAAACUCUGUUGUUAGGGAAGAACAAGUACGAGAGUAACUGCUCGUACCUUGACGGUACCUAACCAGAAAGCCACGGCUAACUACGUG
rnacentral:rRNA from 2 species